rnacentral:rRNA from 1 species
UGGGGGAUAUUGCACAAUGGGCGAAAGCCUGAUGCAGCGACGCCGCGUGGGGGAUGAAGGCCUUCGGGUUGUAAACUUCUUUUGCUCUGAACAAGGCAUGCCUUUGGGGUGUGUUGAGUGUAGGGGUUGAUUAGCGCCGGCUAACUACGUGCCAGCAGCCGCGGUAAUACGUAGGGCGCGAGCGUUGUCCGGAAUUAUUGGGCGUAAAGGGCUUGUAGGUGGCUGGUUGCGUCUGUCGUGAAAGCUCAUGGCUUAACUGUGGGUUUGCGGUGGGUACGGGCUGGCUUGAGUGCAGUAGGGGAGGCUGGAAUUCCUGGUGUAGCGGUGGAAUGCGCAGAUAUCAGGAGGAAUACCGGUGGCGAAAGCGGGUCUCUGGGCUGUUACUGACGCUGAGGAGCGAAAGCGUGGGGAGCGAACAGG